UAGUCCACGCCCUAAACGAUGAGGAGCAGGUGUCGGGGGUAGUACCUCGGUGCCGAAGCUAACGCAAUGACUCCUCCGCCUGGGGAGUAUGCACGCAAGUGUGAAACUCAAAGGAAUUGACGGGGGCCCGCACAAGCGGUGGAGUAUGUGGUUUAAUUCGAAGCAACGCGAAGAACCUUACCAGGCCUUGACAUCCCGAGCAAAGACAUAGAGAUAUGUUAGAGGUUAUCUCGGUGAC
rnacentral:rRNA from 1 species